GCCUCGGUGGUCGAAUGGAAAGACGUCUGUCCUCAUAAGUCAGGAGAUUCCAGGUUCGAAUCCUGGCUGAGGCG
rfam:Cyphomyrmex costatus contig11205, whole genome shotgun sequence.